ACCUUGCAAACUUCAUUACCCACAUUCAACAGCUGUUAAAUAAGUCAUCAAAACAGUCAGAUCUGUGGGAAGAGAAUUUACACACUCCUGACAGUCUCAUCGCCUCUGCUUCAAGAAACGAAAUCGCUCAACUCCUCAACACAGCUGUUGCGAACCCCGGUCGGGAUCAGACCCGAUCCUCCGGGAAGGGAGACCCAAGGCACAAAGUUAGAGGGAGAAUCUUUUAAAAGGAAUUUGAAAGUGAACCGUGUUAAAUGGAGCUGAAGCCUUGGGAGAAAAACACAGGGACUAGGACAUGAGCAAGCUGCAUUUUCCCAGGACGAGUAGAGGAAGCAAACCAGUUCAGGAUCCUGACCCAGAGAAUGGUGUCACCUACAGUGGGUGGAUCUUCCCACAAUUAACCUAAUGAAGAUACCUCCCACCAAAGGAUGCUCAGAAGCCCAGUCUGCCAGGUGAAUCCAGAGCUCAUCAAAUAGACAACUGAGAUUAGCCCACAGCAGCAUUCCAGCCAUUGCAGCUCCUUUCCUGGCACCUACGUUGUGUGCAGCUUUGAACUUGUUGCUGCUCCUUGUGCUGGAUUAACUGAGAAUGGCCUCUACAGGCUCGUGUGUUCGGAUACGUGGUCUCCAUUUGUUGGAACUAUUUUGGGAGUGUUACAGGUGUGGUCUUGUUAGAGGACGUAUAUCACAGGGGACAGGUUUGAGGUUUCAAAAGACAUGUGCCAUCAUUCCCAAUGAUUCCUUCUCUGUCUCCUACUUCUGACCAAGAUGCACGAUCUCAACUGCCCCUGCCUCUAACCCUCUGAAAGCAUAGGCUUAGAUUAAACCCAUUCUCUUAUAAA